GGAUAACCUACCCUCAGGUGGGGGAUAACCCCGGGAAACUGGGGAUAAUACCCCAUAGACCAGGGACGCUGGAAUGCCCCCUGAUCGAAAGGUCCGCCGCCUGAGGAUGGGUCUGCGGCCGAUUAGGUUGUUGUUGGGGUAACGGCCCAACAAGCCUUUGAUCGGUACGGGUUGUGAGAGCAAGAGCCCGGAGAUGGAUUCUGAGACACAAAUCCAGGCCCUACGGGGCGCAGCAGGCGCGAAAACUUUACAAUGCGAGAAAUCGUGAUAAGGGAACCCCGAGUGCCCGUAAAUUCGGGCUGUCCAUCAGCGUAAAAAACUGGUGAAGAAAGGGCCGGGCAAGACCGGUGCCAGCCGCCGCGGUAAUACCGGCGGCUCGAGUGGUGGCCACUAUUACUGGGCUUAAAGCGUCCGUAGCUGGAUUGUUAAGUCUCUUGGGAAAUCCGCCGGCUUAACCGGCGGGCGUUCAGGAGAAACUGGCAAUCUAGGGACCGGGAGAGGUGAGAGGUACUCCAGGGGUAGGAGUGAAAUCCUGUAAUCCUUGGGGGACCACCUGUGGCGAAGGCGUCUCACUAGAACGGCUCCGACAGUGAGGGACGAAAGCUGGGGGAGCAAACCGGAUUAGAUACCCGGGUAGUCCCAGCUGUAAACGAUGCGCGUUAGGUGUAUCGGUGACCACGAGUCAUCGAGGUGCCGAAGGGAAACCGUGAAACGUGCCGCCUGGGGAAGUACGGUCGCAAGGCUGAAACUUAA
rnacentral:rRNA from 1 species